rnacentral:rRNA from 1 species
UACGAAGGGGGCUAGCGUUGCUCGGAAUGACUGGGCGUAAAGGGCGCGUAGGCGGUUCAUCCAGUCAGGCGUGAAAUUCCUGGGCUUAACCUGGGGGCUGCGCUUGCGACGUAUGGGCUUGAGUGCGGAAGAGGGUCGUGGAAUUCCCAGUGUAGAGGUGAAAUUCGUAGAUAUAGGGAAGAACACCAAGAAAGGCGAAGGCAGUUAACUAUUCUAUUCCUGACAUUGAGGCAUGAAAGCGUGGGGAGCAAAACGG